rnacentral:hammerhead_ribozyme from 1 species
AUCCAGCUGACGAGUCCCAAAUAGGGCAAAACUAAAGUCCUGAAU